rnacentral:rRNA from 1 species
CCUACGGGAGGCAGCAGUGGGGAAUAUUGGACAAUGGGGGGAACCCUGAUCCAGCGACGCCGCGUGAGUGAAGAAGUAUUUCGGUAUGUAAAGCUCUGUCAGCAGGGAAGAAAGCAAUGACGGUACCUGACCAAGAAGCCCCGGCUAACUACGUGCCAGCAGCCGCGGUAAUCCGGAGGGGGCAAGCGUUAUCCGGAAGUACUGGGUGUAAGGGGAGCGUAGACGGCUGUGCAAGUCUGGAGUGAAAGGCGGGGGCCCAACCCCCGGACUGCGCGGGAAACUGGAGGGCGGGAGUGCAGGGGAGGUAAGCGGAAUUCCUAGGGUAGCGGGGAAAGGCGGAGAGAGGAGGAGG